AUUGAACGCUGGCGGCAGGCCUAACACAUGCAAGUCGAACGAGUGGCGGACGGGUGAGUAAUGUCUGGGAAACUGCCUGAUGGAGGGGGAUAACUACUGGAAACGGUAGCUAAUACCGCAUACCAUCGGAUGUGCCCAGAUGGGAUUAGCUAGUAGGUGGGGUAAAGGCUCACCUAGGCGAAGAGCCCGAGCUGGUCUGAGAGGAUGACCAGCCACACGUGAGCUGAGACACGGUCCAGACUCCUACGGGAGGCAGCAGUGGUGAAGAUUGCACCAUGGGCGCAAGCCUGAUGCAGCCAUGCCGAGUGUAUGAAGAAGGCCUUCGGGUUGUAAAGUACUUGCAGCGGGGAGGCGUUACCCGCAGAAGAAGCACCGGCUAACUCCGUGCCAGCAGCCGCGGUAAUAC
rnacentral:rRNA from 1 species